UCACGUAAUGGUUUUUGUUUGUUUUUCAGAUGAGUUUGCAAUUGCUGAGUACAAUGCUCCUUGCAGCAAAGAUCAAGGAAAUGCUUGAAGACCACAUGAAUGAAAAGUGCUUUACUGGAGUUUCUGUUCUCAGGACUCCACAGAAGACAAGUGUUGUUUUUUGUUUUGGUUUGGUUUUUUAUCUCUAAAGACUUGAUGAAUAAACUUUUUUCUGGUCAAUCUCUA